UACGUAGGGGGCCAGCGUUGUCCGGAAUCAUUGGGCGUAAAGCGCGUGCAGGUGGCUUUGCAAGUCAGAUGUGAAAGCCCAGGGCUUAACCCUGGAAGUGCAUUUGAAACUGCUCAGCUUGAGUAUGGAAGAGGGUCGUGGAAUUCCUGGUGUAGUGGUGAAAUACGUAGAUAUCAGGAGGAACACCGGUGGCGAAGGCGGCGACCUGGUCCAAUACUGACACUCAUACGCGAAAGCGUGGGGAUCAAACAGG
rnacentral:rRNA from 1 species